UUCUUAUCGAGAGUGGUGGAGGGACUGGCCCUGUGAAACCCGGCAACCUAAAGUAUAGUAUAUUUAAUAUACUUAUUCGGUGCCAAUUCCAGCAGGUAAUACCUGGCAGAUAAGAA
rnacentral:ncRNA from 2 species